UUGUUAACAUUUUACACGUUUUUUACCACGUUCCAGGUGUUUUUAAAUGCCCUAUUAAAACUAAGAAGUCGUAAUAAUAUUAGAAAAUUUAACGUAAUUUUAGUGUCACUUAUUUAUUAACACAGUUAAAUUAUGAAACUAUUAUGGCGAAUCAGUUGCAUCUUGUCUAGUGUAAUCGCCAUAUUAUGGAUAUUUCCUCUAGUUGGGGCAAGUAAAUAUCACCCCGAGGCUUUACUGACAACGGAACAAAAAGUUAAAAGACACGGUUACCCGAUCGAAGUAUACCAAAUUACCACGCAAGACGAUUAUCUGUUGCCUCUCUACCGUGUACCCCAUGGAAUAUAUAACAAAAAUCGCGACAACAAAAACAAAAGUGUGGUCGUUUUACUCCAUGGGAUGGGAGGAUGUCCGGACAACUAUCUUCUUUUUGGAAGAGAUUCUCUGCCGUAUUUUUUUGCCGAAAGAGAUUUUGAUGUGUUCCUGUUUUCAUCGAGGGGUACACCCAGCCCUUUCAAAAGAAACCAUAAGAGGUGGGAUUGGAAUGAAGACCUAGACUACUGGGU